UCCAGACCCCUGAAAGAGGGCAGAUAAAGCUCCUCUUCACAGCCUUAGAUAUCAUCUGAUACAAGCAGCACCGUGAGCAGCCUACUGUGCUUUUUAAAGGUUCACUCACCAGCCAUGAGGCCUUACUGUAGAAGUAUUCACACAUCACUUUUCUUCCUUAAACUCCUAGAACCUGUUGCCCCAUGGUCAAUCGCCUGCCUUAGGUCCAGUACCUCUAUGCAGUCUCUAAGACGCUGCCUCUUCACACACAUCUCCUUCCCCCAGCCACAAAUCAGCCAGGAAUCGGUGGAAAUUCUCGGCCGCGUCUACCCCAGAGAUGACAUGACCAACGUGACGGUUAAGAUCUUGUCAAUGGUUGGCCGAGAGCUUCACAACCAGACGCAUCAUCCGCUGUGGAUCAUUAAAGAACGGAUAAAAGAGCAUUUUUACCGUUCCUACACAAGCCGAACUGGUACACCGCUCUUUUCCGUCCAUGAUAACCUCAGCCCAGUGGUGACAGUGGAGCAGAACUUCGACAGCCUGCUCAUCCCCAAAGACCACCCGAGCCGAAAAAAGGGUGACAAUUACUACCUGAACCAGAGCCACAUGCUGCGGGCGCACACCUCCGCGCACCAGAAGGAGCUGGUCCGCGUCGGGCUCGAUCGCUUCCUGUUAGCUGGGGACGUCUAUAGGAGGGACGAAAUAGACGCAAGCCACUAUCCUGUCUUCCACCAGAUGGAGGGAGUGCGACUAUUUACCAACCAUGAGCUGUUUGCACAAGUUCAGAACGGUGAGGAGCUGUCGAUCUUUGAGCACAGAGGUCGACGCACGCCGCAGAAGCAGGAGACUCACAGUCUGGAGGCUGUGAAGCUGGUGGAGUUCAACCUGAAACACACACUCACACAGCUCAUCAGGCACCUCUUCGGGGAAGAGCUAGAGAUCCGCUGGGUAGAGUGCUACUUCCCCUUCACGCAUCCCUCCUUUGAAAUGGAGGUGCGUUUUCAGGGCGAUUGGCUGGAGGUGCUGGGAUGUGGUGUGAUGGAGCAGGAGCUGCUGCACUCAGCGGGUGCCGGGAAUAAAAUCGGCUGGGCGUUUGGCUUGGGCUUGGAAAGACUCGCUAUGGUUCUGUUCGGCAUACCGGAUAUCCGACUCUUCUGGAGCAGAGACGAGCGCUUCCUGAAACAGUUCCAUCUGGCCAACAUCAAUGACUCUGUGACCUUUCAGGCCCUCAGUAAAUACCCACCGCUGCUCAACGACAUCUCUUUCUGGCUGCCUGAUGAAGGCUACACAGAAAACGACUUCUACGAUUUGGUGCGGAGCAUCGGAGGAGAUCUGGUGGAGAAGGUCACGCUGCAGGACCAGUUUACUCAUCCAAAGCCAUAAUGUGCCCAGCAUCAGAGAUAUUGAUCAGCACUGUCAGAGGGAAGGAAUGAAGGAAAGAAGGCACUCUUACCUUACCUGAGCAAUCUAGGAACCGUCCGAUUUACCGCAUUUAAACUCGACUCCAACUGGCCAGGAUCUACGAGUUCAUCCAUUAGGAUCCAGCGCAUGAUAGAUAUGUUAUAAUACACUUCCUUUUUUGUGCAUUUUGUGGGUAAGAUGGUUGGGUUCAUAAAGGGAGGAAGUCAGCUAAGAUCUUUAAAACCGCUCAACAUCUCAACAGUCAGUUUCACCGGGCUUUAUUUGCCCUCCAAUGUUCAGUAAUUGGAGGAGUGGAGUCGGAAACAGUCAAAGCUUUUUUGAUUGCGUUCGGUGAAAUAUUAGUGUUGUAGAAGACCAGUGCAUCUGAAGAGCUAACGCAUUUCAUAGAUCCACUGAGAGACAUAAACUGGUUUAUAAAUUUAGACCAUUUCAGUAAGCACUUUAUCUUGGCCAAGGUGGCAGUGGAUCGGAAGCCAAUGCUAGAAACACUUUCAAACACUUUUCAAUCACUUUUUCACUCUCAAGAGACGGGAAUAUGCAUUCUAGUCAGGGUGUUUUCCUACCAGUCCAUCACAGGGCAUCUCGGGUACACAUGGAUACAUCUCGGAUACUCCAUGAUGUACAUUCACAGCUAGAGGCAAUUUACCUAGAGGCAGUUAACCUACCUGUAUGUUUUUGGAAGAAAACCAGAGAACCUAUGGAAACCAGGACGUUGGGAGGAUGUACAAAUCUGAUCGAAGUUCAGGAUUAAAGCAGACACCCUGAAGCUGUGAGAACCAAGAAAGUGAGCCACUGUUACCGCGUCGUGUACCGUCACAUGGAGAGAACUUUGAGCCAAGAGGAAGUGCGGCUGAUUCACCAAGCCAUCGAACGGGCAGCUGAGCAAGACCUGGGUGUACAAGGGAGAUUCUGAUUCCUUCUCAACCU